UACAGUCAUAUCAAAUUGAUGCACCAGUUCCCAUAUGAUCACCAAAGUUAAGCAACAUCAAGCCAAGUUAACACCUAGAUGAAUGAUCACUUGGGAAUACCAGGUGUU